GAUGAACGCUGGCGGCGUGCCUAAUACAUGCAAGUCGAGCGAAUGGAUUAAGAGCUUGCUCUUAUGAAGUUAACGGCGGACGGGUGAGUAACACGUGGGUAACCUGCCCAUAAGACUGGGAUAACUCCGGGAAACCGGGGCUAAUACCGGAUAAUAUUUUGAACUGCAUGGUUCAAAAUUGAAAGGCGGCUUCGGCUGUCACUUAUGGAUGGACCCGCGUCGCAUUAGCUAGUUGGUGAGGUAACGGCUCACCAAGGCAACGAUGCGUAGCCGACCUGAGAGGGUGAUCGGCCACACUGGGACUGAGACACGGCCCAGACUCCUACGGGAGGCAGCAGUAGGGAAUCUUCCGCAAUGGACGAAAGUCUGACGGAGCAACGCCGCGUGAGUGAUGAAGGCUUUCGGGUCGUAAAACUCUGUUGUUAGGGAAGAACAAGUGCUAGUUGAAUAAGCUGGCACCUUGACGGUACCCAACCAGAAAGCCACGGCUAACUACGUGCCAGCCGCCGCCGUAA
rnacentral:rRNA from 1 species